rnacentral:rRNA from 1 species
AUUGAACGCUGGCGGCAGGCCUAACACAUGCAAGUCGAGCGGAGCGGCGGACGGGUGAGUAAUGCCUAGGAAUCUGCCUGGUAGUGGGGGAUAACGUCAGGAAACGGGCGCUAAUACCGAAUAAUCUCAGAUGGACCUAGGUCGGAUUAGCUAGGUGGUGGGGUAAAGGCCUACCAAGGCGACGAUCCGUAACUGGUCUGAGAGGAUGACCAGCCACACUGGAACGUAGAAACGGUCCAGACUCCUACGGGAGGCAGCAGUGGGGAAUAUUGCACAAUGGGCGCAAGACUGAUGCAGCCAGGCCGCGUGUGUGAAGAAGGCCUUCGGGUUGUAAAGCACUUUCAGCGGGGAGGCGUUACCCGCAGAAGAAGCACCGGCUAACUCCGUGCCAGCAGCCGCGGUAAUUC